GUGGGGAAUCUUCCGCAAUGGACGAAAGUCUGACGGAGCAACGCCGCGUGAGUGAAGAAGGUUUUCGGAUCGUAAAGCUCUUUCGUUAGGGACGAACGUGCUCUUUGUGAAUAAUGAGGAGUAAUGACGGUACCUAAAUAAGAAGCCACGGCUAACUACGUGCCAGCAGCCGCGGUAAUACGUAGGUGGCAAGCGUUGUCCGGAAUUAUUGGGCGUAAAGCGCGCGCAGGCGGGAUAUCAAGUCUGUCUUAAAAGUGCGAGGCUCAACCUCGUGAGGGGACAGAAACUGGUAUUCUUGAGUGUCGGAGAGGAAAGUGGAAUUCCAAGUGUAGCGGUGAAAUGCGUAGAGAUUUGGAAGAACACCAGUGGCGAAGGCGACUUUCUGGACGAUGUCUGACGCUGAGGCGCGAAAGCUAGGGGAGCGAUCGGGAUUAGAUACCCCGGUAGUCC
rnacentral:rRNA from 1 species